GAGAAGUGGGAACGGCGACGCCGGUGAGGGGAAGUGGGAACAGUUGGUGAAUUCGCCUAAGGCUCUAAUGGCAGUUCCUUGUCGUAUUCUUGUGACUUUUACAUAUGUUUGACGUUGUAUCAAAAUGAACUGGUGGCCACGCGGGACAGACCCUAAAGCCAAGGUUCUUUCUGACCUUAUCGUGAGGCUGAUCCUUGGAGCGCAGGGAGGCGGCCGCAAGGUGAAUAGUGCCCUCUGUGUAGGCUCCGGAGCAGAAUGGUCAUCAUGGACAGGCCCCCCAGCUGCUGGACUGUGACUGUUCUGAGGCUGAAAUGGGCAGACAGCCUUGCCUCCUCUCCACCUGCAGCUGCAAGCCUGGAUGGUGGAGGCACCCCGGGAACCUCCUCUACGCUCGUGUCUUGCUCAUGCAUUUCUGAGCUCCCUGGCAGUUCAGCCUCCCUUUUAUUAAAUCCUGACAGGAAGCUUGGAUUAAGACCUCGGUAGUGCUAAAGCCCUUGCUCUCUGAACCCAUGCUCAUGGGGGAUGAAUCUUGUCUCCCCAAAAGAUAUGUUCGAGUCCUAAGUCCUAGUUCCUACAAACGUGACCAAUUUGGAAACAGGGUCUUUGCAGAUGUAAAAAGUUAAGGAUAUCA